rnacentral:rRNA from 2 species
ACAGACAGCCAGGAUGUUGGCUUAGAAGCAGCCAUCAUUUAAAGAAAGCGUAAUAGCUCACUGGUCGAGUCGGCCUGCGCGGAAGAUGUAACGGGGCUAAACCAUGCACCGAAGCUGCGGCAGCGACACUUAUGUGUUGUUGGGUAGGGGAGCGUUCUGUAAGCCGUUGAAGGUGUGCUGUGAGGCAUGCUGGAGGUAUCAGAAGUGCGAAUGCUGACAUAAGUAACGAUAAAGCGGGUGAAAAGCCCGCUCGCCGG